UGCCAGAGAGUUUUAAAAGUUGACUUUUUUGCGCGGCGCGCCUCAGAGACUACGGUGUACUGGUUUUAGAUGGUUAGCGUUCGCUGUGGCGGUAACGAGUGCGUCCUCAACGUUUUUUCGGUUCUAUUUCAACUAAUUAUAUAUUUAAUAUUAUGUAUUGACUAUCAAAACGUUUGUUUUAUUUCAUAAGAAUUGUGAAGUUUUUAUCAACAGCAAUAAAUAUACAUAUGUAUACAUAUGUAUUUGUUCGUACGCAAAAAAUAACGUAUUCUAUGCGUUCGACUGUCAAUCGCUUCCUGUUGGAUUUGCGAAUUAGAAGUUGAGUUCAAAUGAAAGCGUACAGAAAUCACGAAUUGUUAUACAACGAUAUUUUAAAAUUAUUCUCAGAGAAAUGUGUGUGACAGAGAAAUAAUAAAAUAGUGUUUGUUGUGCAAAGUAUUAAGUACGAAUGAAUCGAAGGCUGAAGUGCAAUACGAAGGGAAAAGAAAACAAAAGAAAAUAUAAUACAUUUGAAUUAAAUAUUUGUUUCGAAUAUUAAGUGCAAUAAAUAACGCAAUCGUUUUCAAAUAAAUAAAAAUUUUUACUGAAAAUGCUUUAUGGCUAGAGUGUGUAGCACAUUUUUUAAGCUGUUGCUGACCGCUUUGCUCUUGUGUCCCGAAUUGCUGCCGUUGCUUGCUUUUAUUGCUGCACAGUGUUCUGAAUAUGAUAAAAUUUCAAUAAAAUAUCAAAGUAAAUAUGUCAUAAAUCUAUAUUAAAUCGUCGAGAAUUAAUUUCAUUUAAAACAUAAAAAGUUUAACAGAGUGUGCCAAAGAAACUAAAAGCUGAAAGGAAUUUUGAGAAAUUUAAGAAUAUUAAUUAUAGCGAACUACAGACAAUAAAAAUAAGAAUUAAUUAUCUCAAAAUCCUUCGUCCCUAUAUUUGACUUCAUCUUCCGUUUUAACUAGAAGCAAAUAAUGUGACCUUCAAGACUCGUUUACACAAAUUUGUGUUUUCAUUUGAGUUUUAGCCAGGAAAUAUUAAAUAACAAAAUCUUUCGGAUUUAAUAUUAUAAGAAUCAUGAAUGUGUCUAUUUUGUGAAUCAAAACUAAAAUUGACUCAAAUCACGAUUGAACAAACAAAUAAUUAUAAAAGCAAUGCUUUGAUAUCUAGAAAAUAAAAAUGUUAAAUGAAAUAUGUAAAACUUCGAAAUAGAUUGAUAUUUAUUGAAAUUACUUCUGACUUUAGUUUUAAGUGAUUUUCGUAGUAAAAACACUUAUACGCAUAAAAAAGAGUAAAAAUUUGCUGACACUCAUUUUAUUUCGAUUGUUCUAUUGUAACUGUGUUGUUGUUGUCUUUAGAGUUGUUGUGUCUGGUUAUGUGCUUGAGGUUGCAUGUUUUGUGCUUCGAUGGUCAAUUUCCCUACAGCAUAAUAAAUUAGCUCAUUUUCGUCAAGAGUUACAUUCCGCAAGAAUAUAUUUCCUAACUAGUGAUAUUGGAACUAGGGCUAAAUGAAUGCUACUGUGUCAAUGAAUUACAUAAAUAAUUAAAUUAUUUUAUUAUUGCCAAAGCAGCUCAUUUGUUGCCUACAAUACACGACCGCUGCAAUUUUAGACCAUUUCAAAAUGGUCACCAAUAUUAUAUUUCAUUAAAGUUAAUGUAGUCGGCAUUAAUUGCUUAAGGUAAAGCAGUUGAAAGUUUUUUACGUGGUGUUUAAAAACGUUCAUCAAAUCUCAACUUUCAUUAGAUUUUUAUAAUAUUAUACUUUAUACUGAAUACCGAACAGAAACUGCAGGUUUUACUUUGGAACUUAAUUAAGGAUUAGAUUAGAGAGCUUUCUUGAUCAUCAUUCAUGUUAGAAGUUUAACGUUAAACACCGCUGUUAUAAAAAUUAAAUUUUGGUUUGCAGCGCGACCUGACUAUAUCUAUCAUGAUGCUGACUUGCAAGCGAAAAAUUAAAGCCGCGAUCACACAAUUCUCCUUCCCCUCGGAAACUCGUAGAUUUCUCAGUUAUGCUCGAGUUUAGUGAUUUAGCAAUCGUAUUAGAAGCAAUUCAUCAAUCUUGAGGUCUAGGAGAAAUUACUGGUGAACUCAAUUGAGCACAUGAUCAAAUGGAAAAAUCAAAAGUACAUAAAUUUCUAUGUAGCACAAGUAUAUAUGUAUAAGUAUUUGCCUAACUAAGAUGUAUAUGGACCAAUCUCACUAUCUAUUCGGAGUCGAGUGCGAUGUAGUAAGUUCAACGUUAUUAUCAGUAGAUUAAACAUUGCAAAUUAUGUUGAUUCAAAGUCAUUGUCGCAGAACAAAAACGUUUAAGUAUUAAGCAAACAUUAACUACAAUGAGCGAAACUAAAAAGAAUAAAACUUGAGUAGAAAAAGCAAAAAUAUAAAAAUACUAAGCGAAGUCUAGGGAGCAAAUAAGCCAACGAACAGCUGAGAAAUGUGAAAAGCUGAUGAUAAAAUAAAAAUAAACAAAAGCCCGCCAACUAAGUGUAAGAUAUGGUAAAUGACGGCGCAAAGCACAUCAUGUCAGCGUUGGUUGCGCAGAUUCUAAAACACACACAUGCGCGCGCACGUGUUAGUAUGCUAAUACACUAUCUGCGUCAUCCCAAAAGUGGAGUUACCGCAGCUAGUGAUAGUGUGAUAACCACUGACGACUUGAUAUCUGUAAUCAAGUUAAACGUGUGUAAACGCAUUAAAAGCAUACAAAUAUUGAGCUUGGCAAACAAACUGCUGCUGUGACUCGCUUAUCGCCACCGAUAUUGCAAGUUGUGUGUGUGCAAAUAAAACUCGUAGUCACACGGCAAUGACUCGCAACAGUUAGCGAAAUACUCACAAAGUGAAAAAAGCAAGUGGUAACCAAGAGUCAUUCAAUCAAGCUGACUUACAACCACAUGUGCAAAUUUUAAAUUGUAGGGGCUUUCAGGAGCCAAGUAGUUGGAGUCUGAUAACGGUGCUAAGAGGUGGUGCGGGUUGUGUUGAGGUAGCAUUUGUGGUGGGCACAAAGUGUUUCGGUGGCGUCCACGUUUUGUGUGUGUGUGUGUGGUCAUUGCAAAAAGGCUAAGUAAAAAACCUACUGGCAGUGAGUAGAACGGCAGAUAGAACAUAAAAAACGAAAGUACGCAAAGAGCCAAGCGGCAAGCGGCACGCUGAAAAGUUAGCUAAUAGCGAAAAACGAAAAACGCUAUAAUUUCGUUGAAACGUGACAUUUGUGAAGGCAAAUAAACGCAGAGCGGUGGGAAACGUACCAUCCUGCGCCCGCGCGUCGCAACUAAAACGUCGUCAUGCCGCGCGCAAUCGCCCGAAUUCAAUUAAGUGUCUAUGCUUUUCAAGCGCUUUGUUUUUCCAAUAUUCACUGUGUUUUAAAUUUUAGCAAUUUUUUGCAUUACCUUUCCUCCGAAUUUCACAUUUAGCGCAAAGGCUUGGAAAUAAAUAAAAUUCAAUUCAAAUAAAUUUAAUGAAAAGCAUAUACUUACUGUAUGUAGGAAGCUGAAAUUCGCAAGCCACUAUAGUUGAGUCAAUUAAGUGUUCGCCGAAAAUGGGCAUGAUGACUGUUAACAACAACAACAACAAUAAUAAUAACGAUAGUGAAAUUAAUAGUAAUAGGAGUGGCGCGACCGUUAUGACAACAACGCCCGAACGCAGCACCGCUGUUUCAGCAGAGACCCCACCAGCGCCCGUUCACCCGGCUCAAAGUGUCAGCGAGGAGGCGUUGCCAGCCGGCAUGGCGGCUGGAGAUGUUUCGUACAAGCAAAGCGCUAGUGAUUGGUAUGACGCUGAUGGCGAUGUCACUGCCAUUGCGGCUGUUGCUGCGGAGUGUGAGCGGUUGCUCGCAGCUGCAGCAGCUGACGUAGACACUGACGUUGGGAAAGUGAAUACUGCCGAAAGCGUUGCAACUGCCAACGCCUGCAAUAACGCAACGUACAACAACAAUGACGCGCAGUGCAUGUGCGAAACAGUUGAGGGUGUCAUUUUUGAUGACAAUGACACUGACUAUACUGACUAUGACUUCGAUACCGCCGAUGCAGAGGUAUUGAAUAGCAACGAGGAAAUGCCUCGUUCGCAACUCGACUACACCACUUCAUUUGCCUCAUACGAUAGUCAUGUGCAUCAGUUGAGUCGCAGCCAUCGGUGUAAUUCGCACGCAACAUUUAGGCUGCUGCGACAACAGCGUCAACAACAACAGCAGAAAUUGCAACCGCGCUACAGCACCCAGCAUAAUUCGAGCUCUUUGAAGCUGAGCGCCUCCAAUGCGUCUAUUUAUUCGUCAACCACCUCUACCUGUCCUGCGUACAGUAUCGGUGAACCGUUGUAUCAAUCUGUUGCAUUCACGGACUAUGCCACUACGGGAGGUUGCACCAUAGAGACGCUCACCACGGGUGAGUCAGCGGAUGAAAGUGUGUUGCGGUAUUCCUUUAAAGGCUAUCCGCCUGAGUUGUAUUCACCGCGCAAGGAGUUCAUCUACACGCGUCCACUGGUCGAGAAACAGCUUGUAAUUAAAAAGACUUGCGAGUGGUGGUUUUACAAAAAUAAAUGCCGCAAUAUGUCCACACAUUGGAAGCAGAAUGCAUUUCUCAUAUGCUGCGUAAUACUUUUCGGCCUUUUGCUAGGCUUAAUCAUUUGGUGCCAGCCGGGCAGCAGUGGCAGCAGUAGUCGGAAAGGUGCUCACAUAACCGCAGGUGUUUCAAACAAAUCAAAUACGUGGACGAGUAGUAGAGGAUAUCCACCCGUUGUGGACUCGCCAGACAUCCAAACGAUAUUUAUAAAUCAUUCAUUUAUUGGCGACGAGCAGUGGACAGAAGAUGAGGAUAUUAAAGACGACAUUGGCGAUAUAAACAACAGCAUUCCGGACGAUUUCACCAGUGACUUUGUGACGCUAAGAAAGGUGUACAAUUCCAAACUAAGCGAAGAUGAUAUGCUCUACGAGUCAAAUCGUAAUAAAAGCAGUGUAACGAAUGGUUAUUAUUCAGCAUUCGAUGAAACGGGUACAUUUCGUAGUAAAUCUAGUCAAAUUUGGGAUCCACAUCCCGAAUACAUAAUAAAUGCUUUCGGGCAUGAAUUGCAUUUGGUUUUAUAUCAGGACACAUCAUUCAUACCACCGCAAACAUUUAGUGUAAUUCGUAUACUUAACAAUAGAACCGAGGAAGAAGAAGAGGAAGAUGAAACAAAUGGCCAUUACUUGGGUUGCUACUACAAGGGCGUAGUCCAAGGUGAUGACCAAUCAACGGUGUCCGUAUCGCUCUGCAAUGGCAUGACUGGUUACAUUAAAACAAGUUUCGGCUCGCUGCUCAUACAACCGGUCAAUCAGACUGGUGAUGGUGAUUCGGAGGUGUUGCACAAAGUGUGGCGUCAUUCGCGUCGUAAUGCCAGACACGCUGUCGCCGAUUCAUUCGACAUGGAUUUGAAAGAACUCGAAGAGCGUCUAUUCACGAGGUUGCAUCGUAAGAAGCGCAACUAUGUUGAUCGUCAUGUCUUCACGAUGGAAGUGUUGGUGGCGGUUGAUAAGACGAUGAGUGAGUUUCAUGGCAGCGAUCUCAAGUCAUAUAUAUUGACAUUGAUAUCGAUUGUUUCGAACAUAUACGCGGAUGCUAGCAUUGGCAACUCCAUUUAUAUAACCGUGGCGAAUAUAUUGAUUUUACGCGACGAUCGCCGGAAAGCCACGUCGGCAUCUGCUAUGCUAAAGGACUUUUGUGGCGUCGUUUCAAAGCAAGGAUACCAUUACGACACAGCAAUGCUCAUAACACGUGAUCAAAUUUGCCGCAACGAAGGGGAGCCUUGCGACACUUUGGGUUUGGCUGAACUGGGCACUGUCUGCAAGCGACGAUCGUGUGCCAUAGUACAAGAUAAUGGACUGCCAGCCGCAUUCACAAUUGCUCACGAAUUAGGUCACGUCCUAAACAUGCCACACGAUGAUGACGACCUCUGUAAACCAUUCAACCGACCAGGUACGAAGAGUAAAAUGCAUAUAAUGUCGAGUAUAAUGGGCAGCGACAUCCAUCCGUGGUCGUGGUCGGACUGUUCGCGUAAUUAUGUCUCCGAAUUUUUGGAAAAAGAAGACAAAUCGUGUCUCGAAGAUACACCCACUUAUUUCAUAAAGAAUUUCAAUACCAAAUUGCCCGGCGAGAUUUACUCACUCAAUCACCAAUGCCAACUAAUACACGGCAACCAGUCGCGCUACUGCCGCAUCGACAGCGAAUGUAAGCGACUAUGGUGCAAGACGGACAGCAGCAGCAGUGACUGUCGCAGCAGCAAUCUACCGUGGGCCGAUGGCACACCAUGCAACAACGAACGUCACUGGUGUCAGAAAGGUGAGUGCGUACCGCGUGAGGGCAAAUCGUUGCAAGUGGUGCAAGGGGGUUGGGGUCCCUGGAGUGAAUUUACACCCUGUAGUCUUACUUGUGGUGGCGGCGUGCAGGAAUCACAGCGUGAAUGCAAUAAUCCACUGCCGAAGAACGGUGGCAAGUACUGUGCAGGCAGCCGAAAGAAAUAUCGUUCUUGCAACACACACACAUGUCCGCCCGGUACAUUAGAUUCACGUGAGCAGCAGUGCUACGAAAUGAAUGGGCGGAAUUUCUCUAGCAAAGGCAUUGCCCGCUCGGCGAAAUGGAUACCGAAGUAUGGACUGUCCUCGGCCGAGAAAUGCAAACUGUUUUGCCGCCUGGAAGAUAACAGCGCGUACUUUAAACUCGCGGACAAGGUGAAAGACGGCACCACAUGCUCGUUGGACAGCUUCGACAAGUGUGUCAAUGGCAUUUGCAGGCCGGCAGGUUGUGACAAUGAAUUGAAUUCGCUGGCGAAAAUAGAUAGAUGUGGCGUUUGUGAGGGUCACAACGAAACCUGUCAGGAGUACACCGGCAACUUCUACGUCUCCGAUUUGUUUAAGACCAAGUCUGAGUUAUACUAUUAUUAUGUGACAACCAUACCAAAAGGCGCCUCUAACAUUGUCAUUACUCAACCCGGCUAUCACGCUGAGAAUUACAUUGCACUGCGCGACGAUGAGGGCAAUUACAUACUCAAUGGCAAGAAUGUCAUCACCAGCUUUCGUAAUAUAAAAUUCUAUGCAGGCGUAACCUUUGAAUACAAUGGCGCCGAAAAUAUAGUCGAGCGUGUAAACACUACCGUGGCACGUAAAAUGAAACGUGAUUUGGUUGUAGAGAUAAUUUCCUUAAGCAAAAGUGCACCGAAGGACAACGACUCAUUGUUACUCAGCUACACGUAUACUAUGGAUAAGCCGCUCUAUCAAUUGCCCGAGGUAGAAGUUGAGAUCUAUAAUUGGGAAAUGCAACCCUGGAGUAAUUGUGAUGCACUAUGUCAUGGCAGCUCACACCGUUUGCCAGUUUGUGUGAGUACCACGAAAGCAUUAAAAGUGGCGCCACAAUUAUGCGAUGAGACGGCUAAGCCGCCAACUGACUAUCGCGAAUGCAACACGGAUUGUGUGCUCUCGCUGAAUGUAGCAAACAUUUCGGAAUGCUCAGCUUCGUGUGGCAUGUUGGGCACGCGUGAGAAAACUUACUACUGCAUACAAACAUUCCCACAUAUCAGCCGCUCCAAUAUCGUGGACUUAUCCUAUUGUCUGUCGAAGUUCGAGUUUAGUCCACACGAGUCGUGUCGUGAAGGCUGUUGGGACUAUACCGAGUGGACGCCGUGCUCCAAAUCUUGCGGUACUGGCACGCAGACGCGUGGUGUGAGUUGCAUGCUAAAUGGCACGCGCGUGAGUGAUACUUUCUGUAAUCAGCGUAAGCGAGACUCUUUCCGCGAUACAAUAAGAGCUUGUAAAACGGAGCCGUGUUAUUCAUAUGAAGACAAUUUGGUUACUCAACGUUCAUAUGCUAGUUAUUGGUUCGCCGAUGAGUGGGGUGCAUGUGAUGAUAAUUGUGAAAAGAAUCGUACAGUUACAUGUCGAAAUCCGAUGGGUUAUGGCUGUCCGAAAGAUCGUCGCCCCUUAUCGAAGCGUAAAUGUUGCAACAUCAAAUAUGUGUCCAAUUGGUCGAAUUGCUCCGUUGAAUGUGGUAAUGGCGUGCGCCAGAAAGAGAUUCAUUGCGCACGUGUAUAUAAACCAGAGAUUAAGGGAACGCCCCGACGACGUGUCAUUAUUGAUCCAUACCACUGUCGUCAUUUGCGCAAACCAACGCCGAAGCGUAUGCACAAGCCCUGUAAGAUCAGCUGCAAAUGGAACACUUCCGACUGGACACAGUGUCCCGCCGACUGUCAUGAAGAAUAUCAAUCACGUUCAGUUUAUUGUGAGUCAGUUUUGGGCAAUCCGAUUGCCUAUCGCUACUGUGAUGCGAUGAAGAAGCCACCAUCGAAGAAGAUCUGCAACAAUUGUGUGCGAAAGGAAUCGAAAAUUAUAACUCCUUGCAAUUGCGAUGGCUUCCGACGUCGUCGGAUCAUUUGCUACGAUUCGACGGGCCGACGCAUUGUCUGUCCCACAAAAGAGAGAUUGAUUAAGGAAAAAUGCCCCCCUCCACGUGAAUGUAUGCCACAAUCUUGUGAGGACGUGCGUCGCCUACUUCGCAACUAUCAGGACGAUGAAUAUACCAUAUAUGUGCGUUCACGCGCACGCAGAGUCUACUGCCAUAACAUGAGUAGCUCACCGAAAGAAUAUAUAACUGUUAAUCAUCUUGAAAACUAUUCCAUUUACUAUGAUUAUAAAACGUCCGAUCCGGACAGAUGUCCGCCCGAGUCGAGAAAUCGAGAGUUCCGUGAUAACAGCACCAGUUCGGGACGUACGCAUUUCCGUAAGAUACGUAUAAAUCUGCCAGACUUACGUAUAAUCGAAAAUGAUUUUACGUUUGCGGAAACAGUUGGCACUCCCCAAUUGUUUGGUUCCGCGGGCGAUUGUUACAAUCGUAACAAGGAAUGUCCACAAGGCGAUUUUUCGAUAAACUUGGAAAAAACCGGUUUCCACAUUCGAGCUGGCGCGCGUUGGGACACUUUCGGUCACAGUGUAAUUAUGAAGGUAUCUAAACCGUUCGACACCGCUACCGUUUCACGUCGCGCUUUCUGUGGUGGCUAUUGUGGACGUUGUCAACUUUCGCAUGCGGGGCUGUACCUAGAUGUAUGAUCACACAUCGGUUGAAACAACCUUAGUGUGGAUAUAACUUUUUGUUGGGUAAAAUGCUCACAAAACCUAGUUAGUGGUCUUGACACCACCAAUUUUGUGGGCGUGGCAUCGGUAGAUAUGGUCGCUGGCGUGACGUGAGCAUGCAGACUGACAAUGGAUAAGCAAAAUUUUAUGUGCCAUACAAUGACUCGACGAUGUCAUUGCCCACCCAUAAGCCAACACAAACCAAGCAGCGACUACUACGGCGAAGGCAAUAGACCAAAAUUAUAUAGAAACACAGAAGAAAUAAACACUAAGUACUUUUAAUAUUGUUGAAGUGAACGAACACCAAGUCGACAGAGAAACAACGAAAUCAACUACUGCUAGCGAAUUGUUAGACGUUUAAGGACAAGAGCAUAACACAAAGCGCUCAAAAUGGCUGGUAUCAGCCGAUAUUGUAAACUGCCAGCAACAAAUACACACAAAAACUAACAAUACAAACGAUCACUGAAAAAUUUAUUCUAAAAAGAACCAAAAACUCGUUGCAAUUCGCAAAUCAAAAUAUUCAACAAAAAAAAUUAAAAAUAACACACAAAAUAUUGAGCUUAAGUUAAGUGCAAAGUUGAAUUUGCUCAGCUUUUACCAAGUGUGGUAUACAAGUAUACCAAUACGAGCAUAAAAUAUGUGUAUGCAGUAUUGUUCAUUCGCACAAAAACUUAUUGGAAAAAAUGUUAUCCGUAUGGAAAAAGUAUUAAUUAACAAAAUGAAAUAUAGCAACAAAUUUUAAAAUAAAAUAUUUUACUGUAUUCGUAGAUAUGUAUGUAGUAUAUUGUGUCGAAAAUUCGAAAAUAUUAAGAAUUUACUAUUUCCAUUAAUUGUAUCCCUAUGUUGAAAAUUGAAACGAAUGUAUGUUUAAAUGUUAGGCAAAUAUCUAUGUAUGUAAAUACCAUACAUUAAUAUAACAUACAAUAGCUUUAUAACGGUGAGUGAACCCAAAAGAAAAAGUAUUUAUUUUGAAAAGAAAAAAGUUGUGUUAAGUAAAGGGCGUCGCUGACUUUUACAAGUUUCAAAGACGCAAUGUGUGAGUCGUUUUCAGAAUGCUUUACAAAAGCCGAUUUACUUUUAUAAAAACAUUGAACUCACACAUUGAAGCAAAAAAGCAAAAAUGCAAUCAAAUCAUAUAACGAAUUGCACGGUAUAUUAAUGAAAUUAGUAAGAAGUGUUUUUUUUUUGCAAAAUUACGUAAAAAUUUAUUUUUAAAACAACCUCCAAAGUAAAAUUUUAACAAAACUUAAAGCAAACCUUAAUGAAAUCAAAUUUGCAUGAGCAAACCAAAUCAAAUAACUAAGAAUUUGCAACCAAGUCACUCAAAAAAAAAAUUUUUUUUUUUAAAUUAGUUGUAAUAAUUAUGUGUGUUUAGAUAUAUGUUGAUGAACAUCAACACAAUGAGCCAUAUAUUUCAGAAAUCAUUUGCAUUUAGUUGCUGCUUGCGUUAGAGGUGAGAAACGUCUAGUCUCAUAAAAAACAACCACAAAAAAGUUUUUGAUUAUUACGCACAUAUUUUACGUUGUUAUGAUAAUAUAGUAAUUUUUUAAAUUAAAAAAAAAUAAACACAUGCAUUUUUCACAGCCGCGACUAUCUCUCUUUUCAAAAAAUAUUUGUAUUUUUCUACUAGUUUUUUGUUUUAUUAAAACCAAAAUAGCAUGCUCGAUUUCCAUUUAAUUAUGACUUUAGAUUGGUUUGUUUCCUUUUUCAAACACCUCCCAAGCAGUUGCUUUAAAAUUAAAACAUUUGACUCGAAUUUAAAUGUAGUUUAGUACUAAGUCACAACUAUGGCAAUAUAAGUUUUUACUGUAAUUUAAAAAUUUAAUUAAUUACGUAAAAAUGGUGCUUAUAAUUAUACAAAUGUUUUACUUCCAAAAACACAAAAAAAAAACACAUUAAAUAGAUCAUAGAGUAUAUAUACUUAUGUACAAACGCUAUUUUCUGUGAAAGUAGACGUGCGUACGAAAUGAUAAGGGCCAGUAUAUGCAAAGAGAGUAUGUGCUACUUGCGCACAUUAACUUAUAUACUAUACUGCCAUGCAUUGUACACUUAUGUAUAAAUAUUUAGAAAAGCAAAAAUACUAUUUACACGCAUACUUUUUGGCAUUUCUAGAAUUAAACUUUCUAAAUAUUCUCAACAAGUGCCCAUUCAUACCAAACUCUCAUGAAUUAAUAAAUAACUUUCGUAAAUGUAUUUUAGAAAUAAACAAAAAUACUCAUAAAUAUUAAAAGUAAUGCCAGCUAUGUAUGAGAAGAGAAUACAAUUUUAAUGGGCCAUACAAAAACAAAAAGAAUCAUAUAAAAAAUAUUGACUGAAAUUGUUUACAUUGAACACAUUUCACAUUUGAUUAAUCAUUUUUAAAUUUGACUUUUUCUGUGUCGCCAAACCCAUUGAUCGCAGGUUCGAUACAAUGACUCUAGUUAUUCAAAGGUCAGCAACAGCAAGUAUGCUAAUUAGAGAUCGCGGAAGUAGUGUCUAGCGACGCCUGUGGCGUGCUAAGAAAGCAAUUGCAAAAAUGUGAAAAUAUUGAAAAUAAGUCUAAUUGUUACAAUUAAGUAUUUUUAUGAAAAUAAAAUUUUGUUUUCAAAUAAAUACUAAAAAUAUUUAACAGCAAUUGGAAGUAACUUAAAUAUAUUUCUCUGAAUCAUAAAUGCAAUUAUUAAGCGAAUAAAACAAAAUAUUAAUUUAUAGUGCAACCUUCAGCCAUAUAACGGUGCGCUUUCAUUUAUUUGUUACACCUGCACUCACUGCCAGCUACACGCACGAACUCAACAAACAUACAUACAAAUCGUCAUUUCACUCUUUGUGCCAAGCAAGUCUUUACAACUUGCCAAUUAUCCUUAAAACCAUAAAACAUCCCUAAACAACUAGGCAGUGUUGCCAAUAAAUGAAUGGCGCAUCAUAUAUAUGAUAAAUAUAUAUAAUAUAUAAAUAUAAAUAUGGUAUAUACAUUUGCUUUAAUAUUAAUAUUAUGUGUGUAUGUAUUUGUGUAAAUAAUUGUACGUUUUAUGUAAAACUUAAAGUUUAGAAAUAAAUAAAUAUACACUGAAAUAACAUUGAAAAGAAAAUGAAAGCACUAAA